GACGAACGCUGGCGGCGUGCUUAACACAUGCAAGUCGAACGGAAAGGCCCUGCUUGUGGGGGGGGCUCGAGUGGCGAACGGGUGAGUAACACGUGAGUAACCUGCCCUUGACUUUGGUAUAACUUCAGGAAACUGGGGCUAAUACCGGAUAGGAGCUCCUGCCGCAUGGUGGGGGUGGGAAGGUUUUGGCGGUUGGGGAUGGACUCGCGGCUUAUCAGCUUGUUGGUGGGGUAGUGGCUUACCAUGGCGUUGACGGGUAGCCGGCCUGAGAGGGUGACCGGCCACACUGGGACUGAGAUACGGCCCAGACUCCUACGGGAGGCAGCAGUGGGGAAUAUUGCACAAUGGGCGGAAGCCUGAUGCAGCAACGCCGCGUGAGGGAUGACGGCCUUCGGGUUGUAAACCGCUUUUAGUAGGGAAGAAGCGAGAGUGACGGUACCUGCAGAAAAAGCACCGGCUAACUACGUG
rnacentral:rRNA from 1 species